GCAGGGAUCGCAUAGUGGUAUUGCGCGGGGUUGCAGACCCCGUUUUCCCGGGUUCGAUUCCCGGUCCCUGCU
rnacentral:tRNA from 1 species